rnacentral:rRNA from 1 species
UACAGAGGUCUCAAGCGUUGUUCGGAUUCAUUGGGCGUAAAGGGUGCGUAGGCGGCGCGGUAAGUCGGGUGUGAAAUCUUGGAGCUUAACUCCGAAACUGCAUUCGAUACUGCCGUGCUUGAGGACUGGAGAGGAGACUGGAAUUUACGGUGUAGCAGUGAAAUGCGUAGAUAUCGUAAGGAAGACCAGUGGCGAAGGCGGGUCUCUGGACAGUUCCUGACACUGAGGCACGAAGGCCAGGGGGAGCAAACGGGG